rnacentral:lncRNA from 1 species
UGCUAUAUAUAUGGUUCUAUUCUAUAUUUAAUAGGAACCUAUUAAUCUGCUGCAAUCUUAUAUAUCAAAUCUAUAUAUGUAAGUCUUGUAAACUUAUGAAGUAGAUUCUAGCUACUAAAAUCUAGUGUUCUCCAGUGCUGAGCUGUUCAGUGCAAUUUUGUAAUACUUGAAGAAUAAUUUAGAAAAGUUAUAAUCCAAUGGUAUAUUUACAGAAGUAGAAACAUUUAAAAAGGUGAAUUUACCUGCCUCCUGUGAAAUUAAAUUGUUUUGGAUAAUUCCAUAAUUGAGCUGAUAGGAAGAUGUCAGUGGACUAUUUCAAACAUGACGGAUUUUCACGUAUGGAGUCUUUUUUAUUGGAAUCCAGAUGCAAUACUAUACAAAUAAAAGGCAUAUUUUAUAACUGAAAUUUCAGUUUAGAAAUCCAGAGAUGCCUUUAUUUGCUGAUGUAGUCCUCAUAUUAAAUAGAAGGAAUUUCCAGUAUAUACUUGCCACUUACAGUUUUUGGUAGUCUGUCAUCAAGGACUGGGGCCUCUGAACCAGGGUUACAAAAAUGGUUAACAGUUAACAGCCUUCCAUUUGUCAAAGAUGGUACUAUGCAUUUUGCAUGCUUUAUUUCAUUUAAACCUCACUGCAAACGCCUGAGGUUUGUAUGGUUUGAAUAUUUCUCACAGAAGGAAAAUGAGUCAGAAGCUUGUAAGUGACUUACCCGAGGACAUACACAACUAAUAAGUGUCUGAAACAGAAUUUGAACUGAAGCCUCCCGGCUAGAGUACACAGUAUCUCCUUCUUAUGCUAUCUCUACUGCCAAAUAUACCAAAUCCAGAAUUUUAUCACUAAAGAUAUUUUUUAAAAAUUUUUACUCAUAUAAUUAGAAAAUGUUUUUCAUGCGU